rnacentral:rRNA from 1 species
AUUGAACGCUGGCGGCAGGCCUAACACAUGCAAGUCGAACGAGUGGCGGACGGGUGAGUAAUGUCUGGGAAACUGCCUGAUGGCGGGGGAUAACUACUGGAAACGGUAGCUAAUACCGCAUACCAUCAGAUGUGCCCAGUUGGGAUUAGCUUGUUGGUGGGGUAACGGCUCACCAAGGCGACGAUCCCUAGCUGGUCUGAGAGGAUGACCUGCCACACGGGAACUGAGACACGGUCCAGACUCCUACGGGAGGCAGCAGUGGGGAAUAUUGCACAAUGGGCGAAAGCCUGAUGCAGCCAGGCCGCGUGUAUGAAGAAGGCCUUCGGGGUGUAAAGUACUUUCAGCGGGGAAGCGGUACCCGCAGAAGAAGCACCGGCUAACUCCGUGCCAGCAGCCGCGGUAAUUC